GUGGGAGUAGUGCAAGUGAUCCUUAGACCUGAGAUCACCAUGGUGCCUUCUGUAUAUGAUUCUAUAUGUUGGUUCAUUCCCUAACUUGAUUUUUUGAGCCUUGCGUAGGGUAUUCUGGAUAUGGUGCAAUGUGCAUGGAGGCUGUGAGUGGUCAAUAAGGAAUUGAUCACUCCUUAUAAGAGGAGAUAAUAUCUUAUGUGAUCUCAUAGGUUGAUGAUUCAAAAAGUCUUUCACCUAAG
rnacentral:lncRNA from 1 species